UCUAAGUCUAUGUGUCGUGCAAGAACCUCGUUCAAUAAUGUUUGAACCCUUUUCCAGUAUUUGGUCACUUCAGGGCAUUCCCACCACAUGUGAACAAAGGUGCCUUUGCCCCCGCAACCUUUCCAACAUGUGUCUGUCGAGGUUUUCCCCAUCUUAUGGAGUUGGACCAGUGUUGUGUACCACCUCAUGAGCAUUUUAUAG